GUACUUGCUUCAGCAGAACACAUACUAAGUUGGAACUAUAUAGAUUAGCUUGGUCCCUGCACAAGGAUGACAUGUAAAAGAUCCCCAAGUGAUUCAAAUAGCU
rnacentral:snRNA from 1 species